UCAAACACCGGUUCACGUACGAUUACCAAAGUUAAGCAACGUCGAGCCUGGUCAGUACCAAGAUGGAUGACCGCUUCGGAAUACCAGGUGCUGUAAG